GUACUCUGGUUUCUCUUCAGAUCGUAUAAAUCUUUUACAUUUCCCUAAAGAUUUCCAUGGAGAGCAUGAAUUGGACUUUUAAAGAAUGUUUCUUUUCUGUUCCUACUCCCAAUA